rfam:Nematostella vectensis strain CH2 x CH6 NEMVEscaffold_129_Cont14627, whole genome shotgun sequence.
UCCCAUAUGGUCUAGUGGUUAGGAUCCGGCGCUGUCACCGCUAUGGCCCGGGUUCGAUUGCCGGUGUGGGAA